CACGCCAUAAACGAUGGAUACUAGGUGUGGGAGGUAUCGAACCCUUCCGUGCCGCAGUAAACGCAAUAAGUAUCCCGCCUGGGGAGUACGGCCGCAAGGCUGAAACUCAAAGGAAUUGACGGGGGCCCGCACAAGCAGCGGAGCAUGUGGUUUAAUUCGAAGCAACGCGAAGAACCUUACCAGAGCUUGACAUCUCCUGCAUAGUCCGUAAUUGGAUGAAGUCCUUCGGGACAGGAAGACAGGUGG
rnacentral:rRNA from 1 species